ACAGCGGAAGUGAACUAAGUGUUCUUGGAUCUUGUGAGCUAAAAAGGAAAAUUAUAUGAUGGAACCAAACAAGAAAGACAAAAUAAAUUUUUUGUAUUCCUGGUAGUCAACUCUUCACAAGAUGUUCUUUCAUGAAAUUUUUGAAUCCCCCCUUGUUACUUCUCUCUCUUUCUAUAUAUAAGGGAUAUUUCUAGAAAAUUCUAAAAAGAAUAUUUCUAUUCAUAAUCCUUGGAAUAUUUUAAUAGUUUUAGCCAUUUGCUCUCUACCCGACCUUAACACUGAUAUUUUCCUUUGAACAACUUCUCGCUACUAAAUCAUGCUUGAUUUCGACCUCGGCUUG
rnacentral:lncRNA from 1 species